rnacentral:rRNA from 1 species
CCUACGGGGGGCUGCAGUCGAGAAUCAUUCACAAUGGGGGAAACCCUGAUGGUGCGACGCCGCGUGGGGGAAUGAAGGUCUUCGGAUUGUAAACCCCUGUCAUGUGGGAGCAAAUUAUUAAGAUAGUACCAUAAGAGGAAGAGACGGAUAACUCUGUGACAGCAGCCGCGGUAAUACAGAGGUCUCAAGCGUUGUUCGGAAUCACUGGGCGUAAAGCGUGCGUAGGCUGUUUCGUAAGUCGGGUGUGAAAGGCCAGGGCUCAACCCGCGGACGGCACAUGAUACUGCGAGACUAGAGUGAUAGAGGGGGAGGCGGAAUGCUCGGUGUAGCAGUGAAAUGCGUAGAGAUCGAGAGGAACACUCGUGGCGAAGGCGGGUUCCUGGACAUUAACUGACGCUGAGGCACGAAGGCGAGGGGAGCGAAAGGGAUUAGAUACCCGAGUAGUC